rnacentral:rRNA from 1 species
CUACGGGGGGCUGCAGUGGGGAAUAUUGCACAAUGGGCGCAAGCCUGAUGCAGCCAUGCCGCGUGUAUGAAGAAGGCCUUCGGGUUGUAAAGUACUUUCAGCGGGGAGGAAGGGAGUAAAGUUAAUACCUUUGCUCAUUGACGUUACCCGCAGAAGAAGCACCGGCGUAACUCCGUGCCAGCAGGCCGCGGUAAUACGGGGGUGCAAGCGUUAAUCGGAAUUACUGGGCGUAAAGCGCACGCAGGCGGUUUGUUAAGUCAGAUGUGAAAUCCCCGGGCUCAACCUGGGAACUGCAUCUGAUACUGGCAAGCUUGAGUCUCGUAGAGGGGGGUAGAAUUCCAGGUGUAGCGGUGAGAUGCGUAGAGAUCUGGAGGAAUACCGGUGGCGAAGGCGGCCCCCUGGACGAAGACUGACGCUCAGGUGCGAAAGCGUGGGGAGCAAACAGGAUUAGAUACCCCGGUAGUC